GUUGGUGAUAGAGACCCUUAAAUACCCCCCCUCCCCCAAAUAAACAUAAAAAUAAAAUAAGUAGGUGAGGGAGAAUGGGUGGAGCUGUCUUAUUUGCUCUUGAUGCCAAAUCAAAAGAUAAAGCUUGGACGAGUUAAUAGGCUCAAUAUAAAAGUGUUCCUAUUAACAAGUACGAAUAGCAGGAUACUUUUUGUUUUAUAAAUUCAGCAAGAAGAUAACUAUAUACAAGUUUUUAUGCAGUUAUGGGAUCACCAGUGAGCUAGAGGAUGGAAUCCAAAUAGUAAAAGAUAUGAUAACAAAAAUAGAAUGAAUAAUAAGCAGAAGUAUUCAAGGCAGUGAGCCUGUGACAUUUCAGAGAUCAUACCAUUGCUUGGCUAUGGCAUUGUGAUGCUCAAUUAUAUUUGGUCGCCACUCCAGGACAAAGAUUUUAGCUGGAUUGCACUUAUCUUAGAGAUUUUAGCUCUUGAAAUCUUUUUGCAGUUGGAGGUCAAACCAAGCACCCAUUAUACACCAAAGGCUAGAAAAGAUAAUUUUUGCUGAAUUUUUGUAUUGUUCAGGUUGCCGAUGUGAAGAAGAACAUAGAAACAGUUCAGGGCUCAGAUGUUUAUCCUGCUGGCCAGCAGAUGCUUAUCCACCAGGGAAAGGUCCUUAAAGAUGGGACGACACUGGAAGAAAACAAAGUUGCUGAAAAUAACUUUAUAGUAAUCAUGUUAACGAAGGUAAAGAUGAACUUUUUUAACGGGACGACACUGGAAGAAAAUAAAGUUGCUGAAAACAACUUCAUAGUAAUCAUGUUAACAAAGGUAAAGAUGGACUUUUUUCUUUUCACUUCUAAUUUUAAGUGCUAUUGGUAUAGUUUGGAGUGUGUGAAUAUAGACAGCAUGGUGGAUAUGUUGGGUUCUACAACCUGUGUUUAGGGGCUUUCUGGAGAUAGAUUAUGGAGUAAUGUAUUAGUUAAUUGCUUAUAACUAUUGUAUUUGGAAGGUGAGUUGUUGUUGCUCCUGUCAAAUAGUGUUCUUCUUGGAAACCAUUAUAUGCUUAAGCUGAACUAUUAGUUGGACUUAUAUAAUGUAUCAGGCAUAUAAGAGCAUGCAAAUGCAUUUAUAAAGGUCUUGUGUGACUCCACUUAUUGUCUUAAGGCUCUGGGUUGAAUCUUUCGAUUAUUUCUCAUGGUAUCAGAGUUGGAAACAUGCUCUUGCACUUGGUAAAUCCGCAUUCAAAUUCAUGUGUAACCCAAAAUCAGGUUUACCUGCAGGAAGGCGUUGAUAGUAUAAAAUAUCCCAAAUCAGAUACUCAAGGACAUUCUUGACUGACUAAUCAUCUUAGUGUUCUUUUUACCGUGCAAAUUCUGAUCGUUCGUUUAAUGUUCUUAGUUUGAUUAGCAG
rnacentral:lncRNA from 1 species